GACAGAGGGUGCAAACGUUGUUCGGAAUUACUGGGCGUAAAGCGCACGUAGGCGGCUUUGCAAGUCAGAGGUGAAAGCCCGGGGCUCAACCCCGGAAUUGCCUUUGAGACUGCAUCGCUAGAAUUGUGGAGAGGUAAGUGGAAUUCCGAGUGUAGAGGUGAAAUUCGUAGAUAUUCGGAAGAACACCAGUGGCGAAGGCGACUUACUGGACACAUAUUGACGCUGAGGUGCGAAAGCGUGGGGAGCAAACAGG
rnacentral:rRNA from 1 species